rnacentral:rRNA from 1 species
UGCCAGCCGCCGCGGUAAUACGGAGGGUGCAAGCGUUAAUCGGAAUUACUGGGCGUAAAGCGCGCGUAGGCGGUUUUUUAAGCCGGACGUGAAAUCCCCGGGCUCAACCUGGGAAUUGCCUUCGAUACUGGGAGACUUGAGUACGAGAGAGGGAGGUAGAAUUCCACGUGUAGCGGUGAAAUGCGUAGAUAUGUGGAGGAAUACCAGUGGCGAAGGCGGCCUCCUGGCUCGAUACUGACGCUCAUGUGCGAAAGCGUGGGGAGCAAACAGGAUUAGAUA